rnacentral:RNase_P_RNA from 1 species
AUAGCAAAUCGGUUGGUCGCUAAUGGCCGGAAGAAAGCAAUCCGUUGCUUAAUCCCGCCGUUAGAGGAAAGUCCGGGCAGCACAGAGCACCACAGCGGUUAACGGCCGUCAGGUUGAAGACGUAAGUCUGAAGAUUUGGUCCCUGCUACAGAGACGAGUAAUGUGAAACGAGCACACUGUGGGCUGCAAUUCCAUGUAAACCGACGGUAGAGCGUGGCUCGCGCCAAUUAACGCAAGUUAAGCGUCGGAGGGUAGGAAGCGAUAGAAGUACGUGGUAACACGUGUCUCAAGAUUAAUGACCGACACUCAGCAAUGAGUACAGAACCCGGCUUAUAGAUUUGCUAUCUUA